rnacentral:rRNA from 1 species
CCUACGGGAGGCAGCAGUGAGGAAUAUUGGUCAAUGGGCGAGAGCCUGAACCAGCCAAGUCGCGUGAAGGAUGACGGCCCUACGGGUUGUAAACUUCUUUUGUCAGGGAGCAAUUGGGUCCACGCGUGGGCUUAGCGAGAGUACCUGAAGAAAAAGCAUCGGCUAACUACGUGCCAGCCGCCGCGGUAAUACGGAGGAUGCGAGCGUUAUCCGGAUUUAUUGGGUUUAAAGGGUGCGUAGGCGGAAUAUCAAGUCAGCGGUAAAAAUUCGGGGCUCAACCCCGUCGUGCCGUUGAAACUGAUGUUCUGGAGUGGGCGAGAAGUAUGCGGAAUGCGAGGUGUAGCGGUGAAAUGCAUAGAUAUCACGCAGAACUCCGAUUGCGAAGGCAGCAUACCGGCGCCCAACUGACGCUGAAGCACGAAAGCGUGGGUAUCGAACAGGAUUAGAUACCCCUGUAGUC